rnacentral:rRNA from 1 species
CAAUAGCGUAUAUUAAAGUUGCUGCAGUUAAAACGCUCGUAGUCGUUGUCCAACUAUACACUUCAUUUGCUAAUGCGAACGAAGUCAUUAGUUUAGCGGAAACUUUGUUUCGGCCAAAACCUUGAGGAAAUCUUAGUGUUCCAAGCAGUUAACGUUGUCCUCCCCAGCAUGGUAUUCAACCCAAUCGAAGGAGAUUGUCGAAUCUUCAUCAACCUAAAUAGAAAUUCUAGGGGGUAUACGUACUUUAAUGUCAGAGGUGAAAUUCCUAGAUUUUUAAAAGACGAGCAAAUGCGAAAGCAUUGGCCAAGCGACUCUUCCUUGA